rnacentral:pre_miRNA from 1 species
CAUAUACUUCCUCCGUCCGAAAAUACUUGUCGAAGAAAUGCAUAAAAAUGAAUGUAUCUAAAACUAGAAUACAUCUAGAUACAUCCAUUCCUCCGACGAGUAUUUCCGGACAAAGGGAGUAUGUG